CCAACCAGUGGCUUGAUGGCCUGUGUAAUGUAUCUCUUGUCCCAUCUCAAGAAGAAAGAAAUAUAUUAGUGGUGUUACAAAUAAAGCAGGUAGCGUCCCGUUUUAGGAAGAAAGUGUGUUGUGUUGGAAACCCUUGGGUAGAGCAGAAGGAGGUGUCCUGCCUGGGUCAGUGAUGAGUGUUGGCAUGUAUUAUCUGAUCUAAAGUUGAUGUCCAUCACCACUUUAGCUCUAGAAUUACUCUGAGACCCAGACAACUCCAGUUUUAUGUAAAAUCUCUGUAAGGAGAAGGGGGCACAAGUUUGAGUUCUCUCUCCUGGAUGUGUUAGCAAGGUGUGGCUCUGGCUGUCACUCAGAGAUGCUUCUGCGUGACCUGAGAGCAGCUCAGGAUAGCCGGAGCUGAGCAGUGCCAGCAGAUGCUGAGGGAGAGAUUUGGGGUUCCUUUCUGAUGUCUCCGUGAUGUAAAUGAAAUUGUUGAAUCUAUAAAGAAGUUAACCAAAGAAGGAGAAAUAGCUACAAGGUUCUCCCUCUGCGCUGCAAGACAAUGCUGCGAAAGGACCUGAUAAGACAGCCUGCUGCCCCGAGCAUGUUGCUUUGGGGAAGCACGUGCCCUGUGUAGCUUUGUGAGGGAGAAGGAAAGAGCUGAAGCCAAGCCCUGCUCAGGGGCACAGUGUGUGGCGGUAUUUGAGGAGGAGCUGUGUUUCCUGGGGGCAGGCAGCAAUGGAUCUCCUGGGACAGCUGCAGGGAAGGGAGACGGAUGGAAUUCUGGCCUUCAUCCAAUCCUGUCAGCACAAACGUGGUGCAGGAAGUGACAGCACAGGUCAUGGCGCUCCUCCUGUGUCGACCCUCGUCAUGCCCAGGUGGUUCCAUUUCACAACCUGUUGGGAAUUGCUGGACCAUCUCUUUUCAGAAGAACAAAUGAAGGCUGUCAGUCCUGUCUUUCGUAUGCCAGAAGAUGCCCUGCAAGAACAAAGGCACGGCGAGAGCUGUCUCACAGAGAGAAAAGGUGUCUGCCCUCUUGCCGUGGUUUGACUGCUAGAAGGUCAUCUCUGAAACCAUUACCGUAUUCUCUUUUUAAAUGUGUUUAUGUUACUGUAGUAGAGCAAAACUUUGGCCUGGGCUUUGUCGCUUUGUAAAUUGUGUAGAACAGGCUUGUUCUAAUCAUCGGAGCGUAACGUGUUGUUUCGUUGUAUACGAGGUUUAGAAACCUUUCUAAUCUGUAUCCAGAUGUGGGGCUUUGGAUGUUUUUCUGAAUAUUCAAGUCAAAGCAAGAGUGUGAUUGGCUUAAUUUUUGUAUCCCUGUGAUACCAACUGUAUUAACCAUCAUCUGUCUUUAUACGAAGGUGCUUUGAUGAUGGAUUAGAGUGUACUUCAAAAGAAUCUGAAAAAAGCCCUACCUAAGCUCUGCGUUAAUGCCACACGCUUGCGUAUUCUUCCCAUUCAUGCUUGACAUGGCUUUUACAUGCUGAGACACAAGCUGUUUCUUCUGAUGGUGUGAAACCAGCGAAAACAAAAAUUAUGGUUUUAAUAAGUGUAGAUAAAUGUCUUCAUUGAUUGAAGUCUCUCAGACAAGAUUUCCCUGAUAUUUUGAAUAAAGCAUACUUGAGUGUGCGUGUAUGUAGUGAAACUAGCUAAUGUUUAGCACUCCAGAGAAAGUCUCUAUAGGAGAGUGGCUUGUUAUAUAGUGUUGAUCCUAAAUUUGCUGGGUUAAAAUUCUGCUGUCAUGGCAUUUAAGACAACAUCUAAUAACAUGUUGGCAAUUAAGAAUAAAACUAGCCCUGGAAAACACU